rnacentral:rRNA from 1 species
GACGAACGCUGGCGGCGUGCUUAACACAUGCAAGUCGAACGGAAAGGCCCUGCUUUUGUGGGGUGCUCGAGUGGCGAACGGGUGAGUAACACGUGAGUAACCUGCCCUUGACUUUGGGAUAACUUCAGGAAACUGGGGCUAAUACCGGAUAGGAGCUCCUGCUGCAUGGUGGGGGUUGGAAAGUUUCGGCGGUUGGGGAUGGACUCGCGGCUUAUCAGCUUGUUGGUGGGGUAGUGGCUUACCAAGGCUUUGACGGGUAGCCGGCCUGAGAGGGUGACCGGCCACAUUGGGUCUGAGAUACGGCCCAUACUCCUACGGGAGGCAGCAGUGGGGAAUAUUGCCCAAUGGGCGGAAGCCUAAUGCAGCAACGCCGCGUGCGGGAUGACGGCCGUCGGGUUGUAAACCGCUUUCGCCUGUGACGAAGCGUGAGUGACGGUAAUGGGUAAAGAAGCACCGGCUAACUACGUG